rfam:Oryza glumipatula chromosome 3, whole genome shotgun sequence.
AAUAAGUACAGUCUUAGCUGUUCAUGUCCAACGUUUGAUCUCUCGUCUUAUUUAAAAAUUUUUUAUGAUUAGUACUUUUAUUGUUAUUAGAUGAUAAAAUAUGAAUAGUACUUUAUGUGUGACUAAUUUUUUUUAAUAUUUUUUAUAAAUUUUUCAAAUAAGACGGAUGGUCAAAACGAUAAACACGGAUAUCUAUGGCUGUAUUUAUU